AACAUCAAAAGCUAGAAUUUCGCUCUCCAUCACUGUACUAGGAAGCAGCUGAUUCGGCUGAAGCUCUGCAAUCUUCUCUGCAGAGUUACAAAUGUAAACUUUAUAUUCAUGUUAUUUAAUUUUGGAUGUAUAAAUUAUUCUGUUAUCAGAUUA